rnacentral:rRNA from 1 species
GCGGGGACUUGGCACUCACCACUAGAUAGGUUUGAGUGCUCGCAAGAGAGCCUGGACACAGGUGCUGCAUGGCUGUCGUCAGCUCGUGUCGUGAGAUGUUGGGUUAAGUCCCGCAACGAGCGCAACCCUUGUCAUUAGUUGCUACGCAAGAGCACUCUAAUGAGACCGCCGGUGACAAACCGGAGGAAGGUGGGGAUGACGUCAAGUCCUCAUGGCCCUUAUGGGUAGGGCUACACACGUCAUACAAUGGGCGGUACAGAGGGUUGCCAACCCGCGAGGGGGAGCCAAUCCCUUAAAACCGCUCGUAGUCCGGAUUGUACUCUGCAACUCGACUGCAUGAAGUCGGAAUCGCUAGUAAUCGCGGAUCAGCUUGCCGCGGUGAAUACGUUCCCGGGUCUUGUACACACCGA